AGUGAACGCUGGCGGUAGGCCUAACACAUGCAAGUCGAACGGCAGCACAGUAAGAGCUUGCUCUUACGGGUGGCGAGUGGCGGACGGGUGAGGAAUACAUCGGAAUCUACUUUUUCGUGGGGGAUAACGUAGGGAAACUUACGCUAAUACCGCAUACGACCUACGGGUGAAAGCAGGGGACCUUCGGACCUUGCGCGAUUGAAUGAGCCGAUGUCGGAUUAGCUAGUUGGCGGGGUAAAGGCCCACCAAGGCGACGAUCCGUAGCUGGUCUGAGAGGAUGAUCAGCCACACUGGAACUGAGACACGGUCCAGACUCCUACGGGAGGCAGCAGUGGGGAAUAUUGGACAAUGGGCGCAAGCCUGAUCCAGCCAUACCGCGUGGGUGAAGAAGGCCUUCGGGUUGUAAAGCCCUUUUGUUGGGAAAGAAAAGCAGCAGGUUAAUACCCCACUGUUCUGACGGUACCCAAAGAAUAAGCACCGGCUAACUUCGUG
rnacentral:rRNA from 1 species